rnacentral:misc_RNA from 1 species
UUUCCGUAGGUGAACCUGCGGAAGGAUCAUUAUUGUAUAACCGAGGUGCGAGGGCUGUCGCUGACCCGAAAGGUCGUGCACGCCCGAGUGCACUCACACACAUCCAUCUCACCCCUAUGUGCACCACCGCGUGGGUCCCCCUUUGGCUUGUUCGGAGGGGGGCUUACGUUUUCACACAAACUUUGUAUGCAGUGUAGAAUGUAUUUUUUGUUUUUGCGAUCACGCAAUCAAUACAACUUUCAACAACGGAUCUCUUGGCUCUC